rnacentral:rRNA from 1 species
UACAGAGGGUGCGAGCGUUGUCCGGAAUCACUGGGCGUAAAGGGCGCGUAGGUGGCGCGACAAGUCAGUGGUGAAAGCUCGAUGCUUAACAUCGAGUCGGCCACUGAUACUGUUGGGCUUGAGCACUGUAGAGGCUAAUGGAAUUCCGGGUGUAGCGGUGGAAUGCGUAGAGAUCCGGAAGAACACCGGUGGCGAAGGCGGUUAGCUGGGCAGUUGCUGACACUGAGGCGCGACAGCGUGGGGAGCAAACAGGG